rnacentral:misc_RNA from 1 species
GGGGCUGAUUCUUAGCCUGCUGCCUUCGCUAACAGAAGUGCCAGGGAAAGGGAAUAGGAUUUCGAUUCGUGUAACCUCUUUUCCACUCUCAAUGCUUGGCUUACGGCCAGGUUUAGAGCAGCAGACAAAGGGAAAGAUUUCCAGUCAAGGACGCUACGCCCCAAGAUCUGUUCAUUCCUCUUCUUCUUCCUAUCCGAAUUGAUUCUAUUCCUCUUCAUAUCCUAUUCUUUGGAAAGAAGGAUUUCCACUGCCCGAAACCAUAAACAAUGGCUACGCACUUAAGAAUUGACUUGUAA